rnacentral:rRNA from 2 species
UGGCUGGUGUUCUAACGUGGGCCCGUGAACCGGGUUGCGGACAGUGUCUGGUGGGUAGUUUGACUGGGGCGGUCUCCUCCUAAAGAGUAACGGAGGAGCACGAAGGUUGGCUAAUCCUGGUCGGACAUCAGGAGGUUAGUGCAAUGGCAUAAGCCAGCUUGACUGCGAGCGUGACGGCGCGAGCAGGUGCGAAAGCAGGUCAUAGUGAUCCGGUGGUUCUGAAUGGAAGGGCCAUCGCUCAACGGAUAAAAGGUACUCCGGGGAUAACAGGCUGAUACCGCCCAAGAGUUCAUAUCGACGGCGGUGUUUGGCACCUCGAUGUCGGCUCAUCACAUCCUGGGGCUGAAGUAGGUCCCAAGGGUAUGGCUGUUCGCCAUUUAAAGUGGUACGCGAGCUGGGUUUAGAACGUCGUGAGACAGUUCGGUCCCUAUCUGCCGUGGGCGCUGGAAGAUUGAGGGGGGCUGCUCCUAGUACGAGAGGACCGGAGUGGACGCAUCACUGGUGUUCGGGUUGUCAUGCCAAUGGCACUGCCCGGUAGCUACAUGCGGAAGAGAUAAGUGCUGAAAGCAUCUAAGCACGAAACUUGCCCCGAGAUGAAUCUUCCCUGAGCCUUUAAGGCUCCUGAAGGAACGUUGAAGACGACGACGUUGAUAGGCCGGGUGUGUAAGCGCAGCGAUGCGUUGAGCUAACCGGUACUAAUGAACCGUGAGGCUUAACCUU